rnacentral:rRNA from 1 species
UUGACCUCGGAUCAGGUAGGGAUACCCGCUGAACUUAAGCAUAUCAAUAAGCGGAGGAAAAGAAACCAACAGGGAUUGCCUCAGUAACGGCGAGUGAACGA